rnacentral:misc_RNA from 1 species
CGUUUCACAGAAACGCUAAAUCAUCGCUGCUUUCAACGGACCACACCUCCUACCCCCUCCCCUCCUACUCCCACGCUCGCACCCACACCCAUCCACACACAACGGCGGCGCAAGCGUUUGCGUGCUCUACCUUCGGUCGGCUUCAUUAUCCAGUGGCGGGGGCUCUUAUCGCUCGCUGGCGGGCGUGUGUGUUUCUUUUUAUUCUGCUUCGUGUGUGUGUGUGUGUGCCUCUCUGUAAGUCUGCGACUGCGGGUGCGGGUCUCCUUCGCUCCCUCGCCCCAGCACUCAUCAAAAUCUAAAGGGCAAGUGGACCAGUAGAAGGGGGCACGCACGUAAAACAGCCUGGCACCUCCUACUCCCGCCCACAUUCUGCUUCUCACGUACCCUCCCCUUGACCUCAUCGGGAUAACGGAGCGUGCAGCAAUGAGCGCGGAACAGCAGCGGCUCAAGAAGAUGCACCGCGAGGCUGUCGUCUUAGCAGAGAUGAAGCAGCGGCUUGGCCUCCCGCUGACCACAGCCGAUUCGUCCUCGUCCGCCGCCCCUGCGGCUGCAGCGGCGGCAGCAACACCCAAGUCACCGGAGGAAGAGGCGGUCGGCCGCGAUGUAUACGACACGUAUGGGCUAUCUAUGACGGCCGUAGAUGCGUACCUGUUGCGCUACUUGCGCUCCAAGAAUCUUGUCGUCGAGGACGCCGUGGCGAAGCUGCGCCGCCGUCGCAUCUUUGAGCGUACACUUCCGAUGAUCAGUGUCACCCCCACCACCGUCGCGGCGCUGCGAAGCGGCGCCUUUCAUCUGCUGGACCACGACCUGGAGGGCCGGCCGGUGCUCUACAUUAACGUGGCCACCUUCACGCUGCCCACGCUGGAGCUGGAUGAGGCGCAGCGACUGCUUGUCAUUCUCCUGGAGUUCAUGCAAGCCCGGUGUCUGCUAAAGAACAACGAAGACGCGGCGGCGAUGCAGCGGCGCCGUCGCCGGCACGUUGAUGCCACAGCGGCAUCGAGCGGCUUUGCGAACGGCGGCCGCGAAAACAGCAGAGGAGCAGCUACCCCGGCACGUGCGGUGCAAGACGUGGAUAAGGAGGCCGUCAGUGACCUCCAGCAAUUCACGCUGCUCGUCAACGAAGAAGGGGCGCCGUGGAUGAUGCACGCGUCCUUCCUGAAGAACUGCAGCACCCUCCUUAGCCUACUCCCCAAGUACUACCCGCUGUUGCUUGGACCCGUCUUGGUUCUUGGGGCCUCCUUUGAAAUACGCACGGCCAUCAAGGCGUGCGUCGGCAGCAGCUCGGAGGAUGUGCGGAACUCGGUGCAGAUGAUCGAGAAGGCCGACCUGCCGCGGUACAUGGAUGCGAGCACCAUCCCUGUUGAGCUCGGCGGUCACAAGCAAAUCGUAGGAAGUGCCACGAACUUUUCGGAGGCGGUGCUGCGGCAUUGGUUCGCGUUUACGUCACAGAUGGAAGAUGAGCGUGCCGGCGACGGCGGUGUCGCCGAUUCCAAGGUGCCAACAACCAUCUCGGCAGCCAGCGCAGGCCCUGCUAGCGAAGCCGGAGCGCCCAACGGUCACAAAGAGGAUGCGAUUGGUGCCGAAACCUCGCACUCGCUGCCGCGGCCACUGUACGUGCCACCACCGCCGCUGGGCACGACGCAACGGCGCAUCUCCCGUCAGCGGCAUGCAGUCGAGCUGCAGCACCUUAGCAGCAGCGGUGUCAGCGUUGUCGGCGCAAUUACGGGUCCAGGCUCGCCAGGGCCGAUGCGGCCUUGCAAGUACGGCGGCAGCUCCGCGCGCAACGGCAAGCAUAUCCUCAUGUCUCCAGCCGCCGCGGCAAACCGCUCCACCGCCGUCACGACGCCGCACGACACGCCGACUAGCCAGAAGGAUCAGGCCGCGGCGACGGUGACCCUGGGAGCGGGGCGUGCCGAGGACGUCACGGACGACGGCGUCUGCUCGGCGCUCUCUGGCGCCGACGACCGCGACGACGAUGCCGAGAACGAGGGCUGUGGUGCCGGCAUGCACACUCGUACGAACUCCGGUGUCCCCACGUACCAACUCUACACCGCCGCCUCCUCUUUGGCGGGUAGCUUGACAGUCGAGGGUGAGAUGCACCUAAGCGGCCUUGGCGCGAGCCACAACCGCCACCACCUAGGUGCCUCGCUGUAUAGUGUCGCAUCCGCUACAAUAUCACGCGAAGAAGCUGCUCACUUUGCCGACCGCCCUGACGAUGCGGUCGUGGCUCUGCGGCAGGAGCGUCGGCGGCGUCAGCGCGCGGAGCAGGCGUUGUAUUUCCGAGACUUGGGUGUCGCGCUGGACAUGCGGAACGCCUCCAUAAUCGAAAAGGAGCUGGCCGCCAUACAUCAAGAUCUCAAUGUGUUGGUGGCGGAGAUAUUGGUUAAGGCGGAGGCUGCUAGAAAACGGCAGAAGGCGCCACCGACGCUUAACCAACUGCUGGAUCUGACGCUCACCGCCUUCGAGAACGUCACGUGCACACCGUCAAGUGUGCCCGCCAUGGCGUUAGCGGAGCCGGUGCAACGCGAAGCCGUGAGCUCCAGUUGCUGCAGCUUCAUGUAGCCGCUUCCGUUCACGGAUCGUGCCUUCCUCCCCCUUCUUGUGAUAUGACUAACCUUCUCCUAAGUGCGAGUGCGCGUCUCUCUGUGCGCGCGUCUUUGCGUUUGGGCGGCGGUGCAGCCUCAGCGCUCCAAUCCACCGCCGCACAAAACUCAAGAUCUUGAACGCCGCUCGCCACGCCAACAAUUGCCAGUCUUUUUCCUUGCUGUGUAUUUCGUUACUGAAGUGGUGUUCAGGCAUGUGCGACGAAGUUGUUGCUGUUAUUAUUACUGUUGCGGACACCCCCAUGCACUUGUACCCGAGACGCACGCGCGCGAAAGCCUUGUCCCCACCCCACCACCAUGACCCCUCAUUGGUUUUCUUUGGCGGUGUCUGUUGUCGCCCUCUCUACUGCUGCCCUUCGCCCCCUUUCUCUCUAUUACGCUUUCUCUCUCUCUGUCCUCAUGAUCUUAUCGAAAUUGCUUGCAUGCUCGCACGUGUGGUUGCGUCUGGAUCUGUGCCUCUUGGUGAGUAUGUGUGCUCUGGCGUAGUCAGCGACUCCGCUCAGCACACACUUCGUCUUUCUUUUCAUCGAAUCUAUGUGCUGAGAGGUGUGCGCCGUCGCGUUUCUGUUCUGUGGUGUGGUGUAGCCGUAUGGCCGUAUCCUGUGAUUUUCAUGUACGCAUAGAGGAAAGUGGUUAUAGAGAGAGACGAUCACGCACGGACGGGCCAUGAUGUGCAUGCGUGCGCGCCCUAUGCGACGGCACAGCGUCGCCAUGAUCACCUCUUCCUGUCGCUACACCGUGGUAGCAUGCACAGCUCGCUUGCGCUCCUCAUGGAGGGCUUCCGUGCAUGGUCGUGCUUGUGCUCCCGCGGACCCCAUCGCGCUCUGGCACGGCGAUCAGCAAGGACCGAUUCCGACUCUCACACCUUUCGUUGGCUGCAGCGUAUUCGAACGCUGCCACGCGUGUUUCGUAUCCUUAUCUAUUUGUUUCCUGCGUCUGUAUGCCUCUUCCUGCUCUUCGUGUCUUGUCGCAG